rnacentral:rRNA from 1 species
UACGGAGGGUGCAAACGUUGCUCGGAAUCAUUGGGCGUAAAGCGCACGUAGGCGGCGAAGCAAGUCGGGUGUGAAAGCCCUGGGCUCAACCCAGGAAGUGCAUUCGAAACUAUUCCGCUUGAAUCUCGGAGGGGGUCAGAGAAUUCCCGGUGUAGAGGUGAAAUUCGUAGAUAUCGGGAGGAAUACCAGUGGCGAAGGCGCUGACCUGGACGAAGAUUGACGCUGAGGUGCGAAAGCGCGGGGAGCAAACAGG